rnacentral:snRNA from 1 species
GUUCUUGCUUCAAAAGCACACAUACUAAAAUUGGAAUCAUAUAGAUAUUAGCAAAGCCCCAUGAGCAAGGAUUACACAAAAAUUUGUGAAGCAUUCCAUAUUUUG